rnacentral:misc_RNA from 1 species
GAUGAAGAACGUAGCGAAAUGCGAUAAGUAAUGUGAAUUGCAGAAUUCAGUGAAUCAUCGAAUCUUUGAACGCACAUUGCGCCCGCCAGCACUCUGGCGGGCAUGCCUGUUCGAGCGUCAUUUCAACCAUCAAGCCCCCAGGGGCUUGUGCUGGGGCCCUGCGGCUGCCCGCAGGCCCUGAAAACCAGUGGCGGGCUCGCUAGUCACACCGAGCGCAGUAGCACAUCUCGCUCAGGGCGUGCGGCGGGCUCCUGCCGUGAAACCCCCCACUGUAACCCCAAAGGUUGACCUCGGAUCAGGUAGGAAUACCCGCUGAACUUAAGCAUAUCAAUAAGCGGAGGGA